GAGUUUGAUCGUGGCUCAGAACGAACGCUGGCGGCGUGGAUAAGACAUGCAAGUCGAACGGGAGAAUUGCUAGCUUGCUAAUAAUUCUCUAGCGGCGCACGGGUGAGUAACACGUGAGUAACCUGCCCCCGAGAGCGGGAUAGCCCUGGGAAACUGGGAUUAAUACCGCAUAGUAUCGAAAGAUUAAAGCAGCAAUGCGCUUGGGGAUGGGCUCGCGGCCUAUUAGUUAGUUGGUGAGGUAACGGCUCACCAAGGCGAUGACGGGUAGCCGGUCUGAGAGGAUGUCCGGCCACACUGGAACUGAGACACGGUCCAGACACCUACGGGUGGCAGCAGUCGAGAAUCAUUCACAAUGGGGGAAACCCUGAUGGUGCGACGCCGCGUGGGGGAAUGAAGGUCUUCGGAUUGUAAACCCCUGUCAUGUGGGAGCAAAUUAAAAAGAUAGUACCACAAGAGGAAGAGACGGCUAACUCUGUAGCCAGCAGCAGCCGCCGU
rnacentral:rRNA from 1 species